rnacentral:rRNA from 1 species
AUACGUAGGGGGCGAGCGUUGUCCGGAAUGAUUGGGCGUAAAGGGCGCGUAGGCGGCGCGGUAAGUCUGGAGUGAAAGUCCUGCUUUCAAGGUGGGAAUUGCUUUGGAUACUGCCGCGCUUGAGUGCAGGAGAGGUUAUCGGAAUUCCCGGUGUAGCGGUGAACUGCGUAGAGAUCGGGAGGACAACCAGUGGCGAAGGCGGGUAACUGGACUGCAACUGACGCUGAGGCGCGAAAGUGUGGGGAGCAAACAGGAUUAGAUACCCUGGUAGUCCACACUGUAAACGAUGAAUGCUAGGUGUAAGAGGUAUCGACCCCUUUUGUGCCGGAGUCAACACAAUAAGCAUUCCGCCUGGGGAGUACGGCCGCAAGGUUGAAACUCAAAGGAAUUGACGGGG